GCUGGGCGUGGUGGCUCAUGCCUGUAAUCCCAGCAUUUUGGGAGGCCGAGGUGGGUGGAUCACCUGAGGUCGGGAGUUCGAGACCAGCCUGACCAACAUGGAGACACCCCAUCUCUA
rfam:Nomascus leucogenys chromosome 10, whole genome shotgun sequence.